GGCCCAGUGGCCUAAUGGACAAGGCAUUAGCCUCCGGAGCUGGAUAUUGUGGGUUCAAGUCCCACCUGGGUCA